ensembl:lncRNA
AAGUAUAUGGUCGCAGAGUCACAAUAGUCUCGCAGAACUCCAGUCCCUCUGUCCACUGUGAGUUCAUGUCAGGCUCAAAGAUAAGCAAUAUCUCUUCCUUUGGUCUGUAUGACUGAUCUCUACAUUCCACUUGUACCGAUGUAUGUUUGGACACAUGAUCAUUCUCCUUUGUUGUUUUAACUGUAUAUUCACAUGGUUUCUCAGCAUGGAUUUGGCUGAUGAAUGCUUGAACUGUUUCUGUUGCUGCUCUAGGACAGAUGGUUCCUUGGAGUCCACUUGUGACUGGCUGUAUUAUUCCCUUGCCGUUCACCAUCUGCUCGAUCACAUUAUAUCCAAUAAUGGGAUGACAUAGCUGCCUGCCCUUCAUCGCCAACACAGCACUGGACCUGCUGAUGCUGAGAGAGUGAACCAGAGAGCCAGAAAGGUUUCAGGAAAACAUUUAUUUUCAAACCCUUCUGAAGCAGAUGCCAUUCCUGUCGCAGUCCUCCCAGAGGGCAGGCACUCCAGAAGAUUGCAAAGAUAAUCCAGCAUCUCCAAUGGCUCACAAAAUUCAACAUAGUGGGAACUUGUGCAGCAUAAGCAAUGACGUGCAUCCAUGAAGAUUGUGAGAAAAGGGCACAGAGAUCUGAAGUGCCCAUUACUGGUGGAAACUGUGCAAUGGCUUGAGUUGAGACAUCAGAACGGGUGAAAGUAGUGUAGUAGUUUGUUAUUUUGAAAAUGGGGUGUAAGAGGCAGAGUUUAGCUGCAGCCUCAAGCGGAGCUGAAAACACUCACAGCCUCCACAGCAUGAGUCCACAGCGUUCAGCUUUGCUUUGGGACCUGUAGACUCGCCUGAAUAAUCCCCGACCGGGAGAGAUGCUUUCAGACAGAUAGCAGCAUCACCUCAGCACUCAAUCACAUUUAUGGGCCUGUUCAGCCAUGUGUUAUUUGUUAUUGGUGUUAUGAGG